rnacentral:lncRNA from 1 species
CCUAGCCUCAAGGCGUUGACUGUCUGAUUUAGACAUAAACAAAACACUGAAUAAACAGUGAGACAUCUAGUUGAGUUGAUGUGGCUGCAAAGGAGGAAAAACAGGGAGACUAAGAAAAAGAAGUGAGUUUUAUGGAGCAAUUUGAAGGGGGAAAAAGGAGAGUGAAAAAUGUGAGCUAUUUCAAGAAGCAUACAAGAAAAGUUACCAAACCGAGAGGUCAAAACACAAACAAAAGGAGCAUUGAGGAGAGUCUCCCAGGAGAAGAAAGAACUCGAUGAGAUUCCCUGCUUGCAUCUUUUGGUUGGAAAGAUGAGAGGCAGGGAUGUCCAAGCAAAGAAAACCUUAAUGGUCAUGGAUGAAGGUGACACGGUCAUGGACUAGUGAUUAAUUUCUGGAGAAGAGAAAAAGACAGCAAUUGGAAGUGGGAGAAGACUUGGAUGAAUGAGAAGAAGACUUGAAUGAGAAGAGAAGGGAAAAGGAAUUGAGAGUUCAGAUGGUGACGUUUUAUCACGGGUCGAGGGAGCUGGCCGUUUCUGUCAGGUUUGCUGAAUUUUACAUCACCUGCCAGAACUGUACAUAUGGGAUGGUCCGUUCACAGCGGCUCCCCACCACUACUCUCCCUGUCUCCUGCCAGCAUCCCCACCCUCGGCCUCUGAUCCCUCCUUCCUCUGUUGUGCACCCCUGCUCUCCUCCUUCCGUGGACGCCUCGGUCCUUGACUCUUCAGAAAGAUGUAAGUCACAUGAUGACAGGUAAAGCAGAGAUCUGUGAUAGAGUGAUGGUUAAUUUCAGCCAAAAUAAGCAAAAAAAAAGAUUAGAGCAAACCCAAGCCUCAACCCUAGACUGUUUUAGUGUAGAGAAAACAACAAACAGUAAAAGUCGUCUUUAUGGUGGGCUUCUAUGAAAUCUUAAGUCCCCAACUGGCCCAAUCUCUUUCAAUUUGUUCUACAUCUAUCACUGAGGCAGCUUCAGUCUCUGAACUUAGCCUGAUAGAAAAUAACUCGUCUAUUUUUCAAACAAUAUUGUUAUGUAUUCUCAUAGGAUAUGUGAGUCUGAACAGGU